rnacentral:rRNA from 1 species
UACGUAGGGUGCGAGCGUUGUCCGGAAUUACUGGGCGUAAAGAGCUCGUAGGUGGUUUGUCACGUCGUCUGUGAAAUUCCGGGGCUUAACCUCGGGCGUGCAGGCGAUACGGGCAAUACUUGAGUGCUGUAGGGGAGACUGGAAUUCCUGGUGUAGCGGUGAAAUGCGCAGAUAUCAGGAGGAACACCAAUGGCGAAGGCAGGUCUCUGGGCCAUUACUGACGCUGAGAAGCGAAAGCAUGGGUAGCGAACAGGAAUAGA